CAAUGAUGGGCCAUCCUAACCGACUUCACUUCUUCGCUACGCAGUUCUUGAUGCUGUCCUGGAUUCUGAAGCUAACACCGUGCUCCGAACAGCCUACCUGGAUUCCACUGCCUGCCGAUGAGGACGCCCCGCAUUGCCAUGGCGAGCUGCGCCGGACCUACCUCUACGGAACAUCGGAGUGCGCAUCACAGAUUACGCCACUUCUGUCGCUGCGGUGUCAUCGGCUGACGCCCUGGCUUCCUGGCACACUAUCUUCGAUUGACAGCGCCAUCUUCCCUCGGAUCCCCGAUAUAAAGCCUAGACAAACCAUCGCCACGCUCAGUGGGCUUGGCGGCACGUCAAUGAUGGGCCAUCCUAACCGACUUCACUUCUUCGCUACGCAGUUGGAGAGGACCGAAACUGGCAAGGAUAACAAGAGUAAGGAGGAGGAGGACAUAGAGUGGAGCCUGACUGAGUGGUGUGGGCGACACCACCAGGACUGGGGUGGCGUUACCGAGAUCACGCGAAUUCUGUGCCUCGUCAGCUUGUGAGUGGUGCGACGACGACCUGCUGUCCACUGAACGCCGAUGAUGAGCACAUUUUUAUUGACUGGUGGGGGAAAUUGAGAAGGGGCCCCUAUAGUCCACGGAUCCUAUGACGUCAUCGGCGAUGGCCCGUGCCCGUCAGAUCAGUGCCCGGUGGACCUCGAAGGUGCCAUCACGAAGGACGCCCUUCCACUGCUCUGUGGUGCGGGAUGCAAGAAGGGUACAGGGUAGGGACGGCAAAUGCCGACGGAAAUGAAGUUUUCCGGUCUGAAUUUACGUUCCCACUUCUUUUAGGCAACAGUUUUGCCCCCCUUUACUUACAAGCUUAUCAGCCGUGCUCCCCGACAACGUGAUCUGUGACAAGAGUGUUUGCAGCAUUUUGAUACUCGAUUUAACAUUACGAUGGUUGUUAAAUUAAUACUCAAUCUGACCAUUGAUUCAUUUGGUCACGCUAUACAUGGAGAGUUUGUUCAGAUUGUUUUGUGCGCAUUCAACCUGUUCCCAAGGAGCGGCAAACACAAAUUUGUGGUCCUGACAUUGUUACCAACGUUUUGAUGUAGCAGCGUGUACGAAGUUAUUACAGAAAGAAUAAAUGCGACCAUUGACAGUGUGCCGCACACAUUAAAAAUUUCAAGAUAAACAAUUUCAACCAAGAAAUAAAUGAUAAAUAGCG